GCAGGCAUGGAGGGAGGGAGGCCUAGAUCCUUUUGUUGUUUUUUGUUUCCCAGGCAUUCCCCCUUUGCCCUAAAAAAGAAUUGUUCUUUGCCCUAAAAUACACAAUGAAGAAAAGACUGAAGAAAAACAUCCAGAAGAUAUGAAUUCUCCUUACUGAUACUGAUUCCCCAAUUCUAAAAUUCCUUCUCAGAUCAAAACCUUGUUAACAGGAUCUUCGUAUCAGUAAGAAAAUGGAGUAGCUCAGCUGCUUACAGGAGCUGGUUCAAUAUACUAGUAUUCCCAUUGCACCAUUUUCCAUGUGUAACAGUUAGUCCUGUAUGCCUUUGUCAGAACCUGAAACUAAAGCUGCUAGAAACAAACAGAAAAGUGUGUUUUAUUCUAUGGAAUGCCACAGAAUUACUCUCAAAAGACAUGUUUUUUGGCUGUUAGGGUGGCUGCCCAUCUGGUUAUACUUUUAAAGAAAAAUGAUGAUUGAAUAUUCCUUCUUAUGUGAAACAGAAUUGCUAAUUCAGAAAUAUCAAAGUGAUCUGGUUUUUGUUCUGUCACAGCCUGGUGUUCAGGUUAGUUUAUUAAACUACUUCAGCACUUUAUUUCACCUACUCUGACUCUGCUGUUCUUUAGCCAGCCUUUGAUACAGCAGUCCUGACUUGUGCUCUUUGCAGUCUUCUCAGAUGGCCAUAGUGCAAAAAUCCACUUUGCAUUUAAACAUUAGGCUUAAGGAAUGAGCUUUAAUGGUCUUGUCCUGCAGAAAGUGUAUUUACUGGAUUUGUUCACUGUCAGGACUAAAACUAUCGACAGACUCACCUGCCCCUGGAUCCAGGGACCGCUUUCUCUUUGGCAAGUCUGUAGUUUUGGCACAAUUUCAUUUACAGUUUCAUCUUUGCAUCUUCUCAUCUCUUAUGAUAGGUAGUUGCCCAGAGGGAUCCUUCUCCUGUUUAGUUCCACAUGAUCAAGUUCCUCUCAUUUUCUAGGAGUUUUAUUCCACCUUGCUUUACUUUUCCUUCCACAGUGAAAUUUUGGCCCUUGUUAUCACGUACACAUGAAACUUUAUAUAUUGCAUACUAAGAGAAAAGUGAAGGAAUAUUGCUACAUUCAUAAAUACUGAGCAACAUCUUGCUAUGUCAGAGAUACUCCAAAAAGAAGGUGUCUGGAUAAAAGAAACUGCUGAAAGUGACUGGGGUGCCAGACUGAGUUCUGUAGUAGUGGUAGACAUCUGUUUGCCACCCAAAGUCUGGGAAAUCCCUGCCAACUCACCAUUCAGUUUUUGGCUGAAAACUGAUUUGCCCUUGAGUUUUAUAAAUAAUUGUACAUGAAAUGCUUGUUUUGAAUGAUGUGGUUUGGAUUAAAGAUGCCUGUUCAUCGUCAUUCCUGUGAACCAACACCUACUCUGAUAAGAGUGUUUCGCAUAGUCAUUAAU
ensembl:lncRNA